rnacentral:rRNA from 1 species
AUGAACGCUGGCGGCGUGCCUAAUACAUGCAAGUCGAGCGAACAGACGAGGAGCUUGCUCCUCUGACGUUAGCGGCGGACGGGUGAGUAACACGUGGAUAACCUACCUAUAAGACUGGGAUAACUUCGGGAAACCGGAGCUAAUACCGGAUAAUAUAUUGAACUGCAUGGUUCAAUAGUGAAAGACGGUUUUGCUGUCACUUAUAGAUGGAUCCGCGCCGCAUUAGCUAGUUGGUAAGGUAACGGCUUACCAAGGCGACGAUGCGUAGCCGACCUGAGAGGGUGAUCGGCCACACUGGAACUGAGACACGGUCCAGACUCCUACGGGAGGCAGCAGUAGGGAAUCUUCCGCAAUGGGCGAAAGCCUGACGGAGCAACGCCGCGUGAGUGAUGAAGGUCUUCGGAUCGUAAAACUCUGUUAUUAGGGAAGAACAAAUGUGUAAGUAACUAUGCACGUCUUGACGGUACCUAAUCAGAAAGCCACGGCUAACUACGUG